AUUUUCAUUUUAUACUUCCACUCUGCUACAUCUCAGAGGGAAAUAAUGUAUUCUUUACUCCACUACAUUUGUCUGACAGCUUCCGUUACUAUUUACUUUUUAGAUUACAAUUUUUCAUACCCUUCUUGUGCAGUGAAAACCAUCUACAAAUUUGGUGAUUUUUUUUUCUUCUUCUGAUAAACUGAAGGAUUAAGUGUUCCUUUGUGUUGGCUAUGACAACUUGUAGCAAAUUUGCUAGCAAGCCAUAUUGGCUUAGCCUGGCUGGAAGCCAGUUUUCAGUUUGCGGUAAUAAAUGAAUGAAUGAGCCUGGCUUCCAGGCUAAUGUUAGCUGGGUUAAUGUGUUAGCUAAUGUCAGUUUGCUAGCUUCAAAGCUUGUGAGUGAAACAUGCAGGGCAAUUAACGUUAUAACUUGUCAGGGACAAGUAAACUUUUUGGUUGGACAAGUGAAAUGCUUUAUCAUAUAUUCUCCUAUUGUUUGAGUGAAACAUUUGGGGAACAACCGUGUUGGCUUUUCAGACCUGUUCCCCAGUAUGUCAGUGCACAUCACGUGUUGCUGUUGUUUCUAAGAUUACACAGCAAUUUAUUUGGAAGAUAUUUGUGUAUGAUUUCUUAGCUCUAAGGCCAGGUAGGCAUAUUAAUCGACUCGAUUAUUUCAGCACUAGUGUGAUUUUAAUGGUAAUAAAUUAGUUUAAAGAGACACUUUGACUAAAAGUUGACUAAAAUGUUAUGACUUUUCAUUGACUAUAACUGGAUUAAAACGUUUUGAGUUGUCGUUGACUAAAACUAGACUAAAACUAUGAAGGAUAAAAAUGACUAAAAUGUGACUAAAACUAAUAAGCAUUUUUAUCUAAAGACUAAGACUAAAUCUAAAAUAACUGCCAAAAUUAACUCUGAUUCAUGCUUUUAUUUCCAGCAGGGUUGACUACUGCAAUGGUCUUUUCACAGGCCUUCCUAAAAAGCUUCAGCUUCUACAAAAUGCAUCCGAGUUCUUGUGAAAACCAAAAGAACUGACCACAUUACUCCGGUACUUAAGUCCUUACUCUGGGUUCCGGUAAGUCACAGAACUGACUUUAAAGCACUGCUGCUUGUUUAUGAAUCACUUAAUGGGGCAGGACCAAAAUACCUCUCAGAUAUGUUUCAGCAGUACACACCUGCAAGACCUCUCAGAUCACUGGAGAGAAAUCUGUUGGUAAUACCUGCUGUCAGAAAUAAACUUGGUGAAGCAGCUUUUAGCUGCUAUGCUGCUCAGCUCUGGAACCAACUUACUGAUUGUAUUAAAGGUGCUCCAACUGUAGCCAGCUUCAAAUCUGGACUUAUAACCCAACUGUUCUCAGAUGCUUUUUGUUAACUGAUCAAAUACACACUCUACUUUCUAUGUUCUUUUAGCUGAUCAAAAGCACGCUUCCUUUUUAAUCUUUUAUUGACAUGUGUUCUUUUAACUGUUUUUAUUUUACUAUGUUAUUUUAUCUGCUCAUUUGUAAAUCACUUUGAAUUGCAGAUGUGUAUGAAUUGUGCUAUAUAAAUAAACUUGCCUUGCUUAUAUUACUACAUAACAAUAACACUUUACUGCACUAGUACUAAAUACUGAUAACAACUUUAACCAUGUGCAGACUGCAAUGAAUGCAGAUCUGCUGAACUGUUCACUAAGUAACUUAGUAAAGCAAGUUUCAAGUGUCUGUUAAUUAUGGGAAGGAAUGGAAACCAAUAGCGGCUUAGAGGGCAGGAAAAACAUGUAACAAUCUGAAUCAUCACACCAUGUUCUGUAAGGUUAACAAUAGUACAUUUGUAGUUAACAGGAUCCAACAUGUAAAAACACUAAUAUGGUAUUUUAAGCUGCGCCUUUCACAUUUGCAAUAAAAUAACCUUUCCUGUAAAAAACAAGAUAAAUAUAACUUUAAUUUCCAAGCUCAGUUGCUGGGCUACAAAAUGUUGCUGAAGAGUAACUAGUUAAGUUACGGCGGCCCAGCAGUAGUCAUGUCCAACAGCUAACAUUAUACGCCAUGACACUAUUACCAACACAGAGAAGGUAGUGGCUGAAUGCGUUAAGUACAGGAGUUAACCGCAGCUAGCUAAAGACGGUCACGUACUGGACGUACAGGUUUCAGGCUUUCCGCAAUGAAAGCUCACAUCAGACUGGGCCUCACAGACGCACGAAGAAACGAAGACCCUCUGUGACCCUCAGGGUCAUUUAUCUCAAUCCAGGGGUCCAUUGUUAUAUAAAUGAAAGAAAUGGCAGCACCAGCCACAGUCUGACUUUCAAGACGCCUUAACAAGGGAAUUUCCCCUGCUUUUUGGAAAAGAUACAAUCUCUGUAAGGUGGACGUGCAGAGGCAUGUCAUUCUGCUUGAUAUGACUAUGAUAACAUUAUGAUUCUAAGGAGACAGGGUGGGGCCAGAGAAACCUGUAUUAUCUAUAAACAAAAUUAACAUAGACUGGUAUACACACUGUGUGAAGGCAUCUCCUACAGUUGACCCUCCACCCACACCACCUACCGUGUCACACCUUCUCCUCCCUCCUCUCCUCCAUUCAACUACAUUCUUGAGGAUAACAAAGCUGACCUCCAGGAGCUGCUUUCCCUUCUAUCUAGUAAAGUGCUGAACGUCACCUCUCCUGCCAACCAGAUAAAUGUCAUGAGGGACAGCAUUCUGGAAGGUGCGCUUCGAGCUUUUGGACUGAGAAGAUUUGACCCAGAGUCAAAGUUAGACAUUGUAUUUCAGGAUGCAGAAGGCACCGGUGAGGGGGCGGCAGAUGAGGGAGGACCCACAAGGGAGUUUUUAAGGCUCCUUAUGAGGGACAUUCAUACCUCUGACAUUUUCGAAGGACCUGACUGGAAUAAAGUUUUGUCCUGCAAUUGACAAGCUCUUUAUCCUGGAAAGUAACGGCUGGUGGGCUGUAUGAUUGCAGUGUGCCUAGCUCAUGGAGGUGUGGAGCCUCAGUUUUUCUCAAGGAGGCUCUACAACCAGGUAUCUGGCCUACCUGCUCCAGAACCCGACAUCACUGAAAUAGUGAACUACUGAUUCAAGGAAAAGCUCCUCAAAGUAAGUACCUUCGAAGUUUCACAGACAACCUUUACUUCAUUUGUGUCAUAGUUAGCCACAUCUCCCUCCUGACCCUUGUGUGCUCUAGUGUGCUCUCCUUUCCCUGUGUUCCUUGUCUAUACUCUGUUCAUCGCUGUGUGUGAAUACUGGUCUGGCUCCCUGGUCCGACAUCCUGCUGCUGAUCACCGGCACACCUGACGUCCAUCAUCCAAUCAGUCUCCACAGUAUAUCUACCAGGCUCUACCAUACUACCAGCGCCAGAUCGUCUCCGUACACCAGUGCAGUACCUUUGUCACGGCUCCUACCUCGACCAGUUAAGUUGUUGGUAUCCGGUAUUGUGUCGGUCUUGUAACCCUUGUCUGUCUGCUGCAGAGCUAUUCCCUGCCGGUGAUCCCAGCCACCGUAUACUCCCUGAUCUCGGCUAAGCUGCUCUCCUGUCUUGCCAGCCACGCUACACGAGCCGAGCCCAGCACCUACACUCAGCGUCGCCGUCCCCUGAGACUAGCCAUAUCCUCACGGACCAUAUCUACUACGUUAUCACUGGCCACACUGGACUACACCAGACUCGCCUGCUCUGGAAGAGCGCUUAUCCACCUGCGAUUGCUUUGCGGUUUUAUAAUAAAGACUGUUGCUACUACUAUCCAAGUUACCACUUCCUUGUGUUCUGCAUUUGGGUCCUUAGAUCGUGCUCUACGACAAUUUGACUUGAAAUCUGAAGUACAGUCAUAUUUUGGUCAUAUAACGCAAUAAGUGGCUUCUGGGAAAAUUCUAUUAGAGAACUAUCACAUAUUUUUGGUAUUUCUCUGAAUAAAAACCCACUAAUCCUACUACUUGGGAAAAUACCAGAAGAGUGUAAAAAGAGAGAUUCUCACUUGUUCCUAGUAAUAAGGGUAGCAAUAAUUAAAAAACUACAAGGAACUGAUUAAAAAUUAUAACUUUAUUAACUCCAAAUGGAAGGAUCUUGUAAAUGAAAUAUAUGCAAUGGAAAAAAUGACCUUGAGAGUUAAAAAUCAAGGUCAUAUCUUUGAAGAAAGAUGGCUGAGGUAUACAACACACAAUACAUGGUCAGCUCAAUUCCCUCUUGGAAUUGCCAUUGUUCUUCUUCUUCUUGUUCUUCUUCUAAUUCAACUUCUUCUUCCUAGAAGGAAACCUGCCUUCCCAUGCAUGAAAAUAAAGAAAACUUUGCACGUGUCUGUCCUAUGCCAAACAUCCUCACCUGGCAUUGUGGGCUAAAUGUCCUGAUGGUGGCACUACAGCAACCGUUUAAAGUUUAAAACUUUGAAAAUUCGUAACACAUCAGUUGUACGUGCUACCACUUUGCAACUUUCACCAAAAUGUAGGCCCAGUUGAGCAGACAUGUUCAGAUGCUUUGAGCUUGCAGUUUCCUCCAAAAAAUCUAAAACUAAACUUGCCACACUGCAUUUUCCGACGGUCCUCCGCAAAACGACACGGCCAGAUUUUUUAAUUAUCAAAAAUUUAGUCCACAGUGCAUCAAAAUGUUUUACUGUAAACAGCUACUGCAAAUUCUCACUAAAUAAAUCUCCAAUGUUCAUGAAAAAAGGCAACAUUUUGAUGUCAUGGUAGAUGUAGUAUGGUAAAUUUCAGAAUUUGUAUCUCAAAAACAGAAUUUUUAUUAAUAUUUUGAAUUUUAUCCCCAUGUAAACUAUCAUGUCAGUGGAAAUAGGGCAUCUUUAAACAUCAGUAUAUCACUUACAAUUUUCCCAUUUCUCUGGGUAGCUUAACAUGAUCAUGAUGGGCUAUUGGUGGCAUAGACUGUGAGUUAAAGACCCAGGUGAUGCUGAAUGAACCUUUUAUACCUACUCAGGCACUGUGCUGUGUCAAUUAGAGACACGUGAUUUCAAGGUUUAAUGAUAGAUUUGGGUCCUCCUUCUUCUACCUCCUCAAAAUGCCUGCCUAAUUUUAUUUACUUUGUUCCCUCUUUGUGUUUCUCGGAUUUCUUUUUCUUAUGCUCUGUAACUCCAGUAUCACCAGUUAUAUAAUUGCCUAAAAUGCAAAAAAAAAAGACCAAAAAAAAAAAAAGAAAUCUAAGUAAAAGUAACACUUUUUAGCACUGAGAUGGCAAAUUUUCACUAAAAAGUACUUUACUCACAUGCUUCAAUUUGUAGUAACUUAAAAUAAAUGUCAGCCUUGUUAAGUACAUAUGUAUCUUUUGUGUUUAAUUCCAUUCAGAUCCAAUCUGCUGAGUCACCAGAAAAGGCCAUGGAGGCAAUCAUGGAGGCUUCUGAUGAGCUGCCCAUGUUAGGGUCAGUCAGAUACAUCAGAAGCCUUGGGGACAGGGACACCCUUGUCUGGUCAUGGACUGCCUAUCCACACCUCAUAUGAAGUGUGGA